GCCUAAAGAGAAGCUUGCGGCUGAUUAGCUUGUUGGUGAGGUAAUGGCUCACCAAGGCGACGAUCAGUAUCUGGUUUGAGAGGACGAUCAGACACACUGGAACUGAGACACGGUCCAGACUCCUACGGGAGGCAGCAGUGGGGAAUUUUCCGCAAUGGGCGAAAGCCUGACGGAGCAAUACCGCGUGAGGGAUGACGGCCUAUGGGUUGUAAACCUCUUUUUUCAGGGAGGAAUCAAUGACGUGUACCUGAAGAAUAAGCAUCGGCUAACUCCGUGCCAGCAGCCGCGGUAAGACGGAGGAUGCAAGUGUUAUCCGGAAUCACUGGGCGUAAAGCGUCUGUAGGUGGUCAAAUAAGUCAACUGUUAAAUCUUGAGGCUCAACCUCAAAAUCGCAGUCGAAACUAUUAGACUAGAGUAUAGUAGGGGUAAAGGGAAUUUCCAGUGGAGCGGUGAAAUGCGUAGAGAUUG
rnacentral:rRNA from 1 species